UACGGAGGGUGCAAGCGUUAUCCGGAUUUACUGGGUUUAAAGGGUGCGUAGGUGGGCAGGUAAGUCAGUGGUGAAAUCUUCAAGCUUAACUUGGAAACUGCCAUUGAUACUAUUUGUCUUGAAUUAUCUGGAGGUAAGCGGAAUAUGUCAUGUAGCGGUGAAAUGCUUAGAUAUGACAUAGGACACCCAUUGCGAAGGCAGCUUACUACGGAUAUAUUGACACUGAGGCACGAAAGCGUGGGGAUCAAACAGG
rnacentral:rRNA from 1 species